rnacentral:rRNA from 1 species
GAUGAACGCUAGCUACAGGCUUAACACAUGCAAGUCGAGGGGCAGCAUUUUAGUUUGCUUGCAAACUAAAGAUGGCGACCGGCGCACGGGUGAGUAACACGUAUCCAACCUGCCGAUAACUCGGGGAUAGCCUUUCGAAAGAAAGAUUAAUAUCCGAUGGUAUAUUAAAACCGCAUGGUUUUACUAUUAAAGAAUUUCGGUUAUCGAUGGGGAUGCGUUCCAUUAGUUUGUUGGCGGGGUAACGGCCCACCAAGACUACGAUGGAUAGGGGUUCUGAGAGGAAGGUCCCCCACAUUGGAACUGAGACACGGUCCAAACUCCUACGGGAGGCAGCAGUGAGGAAUAUUGGUCAAUGGACGAGAGUCUGAACCAGCCAAGUAGCGUGAAGGAUGACUGCCCUAUGGGUUGUAAACUUCUUUUAUAUGGGAAUAAAGUAUUCCACGUGUGGGAUUUUGUAUGUCCCAUAUGAAUAAGGAUCGGCUAACUCCGUGCCAGCAGCCGCGGUAAUACGGAGGAUCCGAGCGUUAUCCGGAUUUAUUGGGUUUAAAGGGAGCGUAGGUGGAUUGUUAAGUCAGUUGUGAAAGUUUGCGGCUCAACCGUAAAAUUGCAGUUGAAACUGGCAGUCUUGAGUACAGUAGAGGUGGGCGGAAUUCGUGGUGUAGCGGUGAAAUGCUUAGAUAUCACGAAGAACUCCGAUUGCGAAGGCAGCUCACUAGACUGCAACUGACACUGAUGCUCGAAAGUGUGGGUAUCAAACAGG